CCUACGGGAGGCAGCAGUGAGGAAUAUUGGUCAAUGGGCGGAAGCCUGAACCAGCCAAGUAGCGUGCAGGAUGACGGCCCUAUGGUUUGUAAACUUCUUUUAUAUGGGAAUAAAGUGCGGUACGUGUUCCGUUUUGUAUGUACCGUAUGAAUAAGCAUCGGCUAACUCCGUGCCAGCAGCCGCGGUAAUACGGAGGAUGCGUGCGUUAUCCGGAUUUAUUGGGUUUAAAGGGUGCGUAGGGCGUAAGUUAAGUCAGCGGUGAAAUUUUGGGGCUCAACCCGAUCCUUGCCGUUGAAACUGGUUGUCUUGAGUACGCGGGAGGUAGGCGGAAUGCGUGGUGUAGCGGUGAAAUGCAUAGAUAUCACGAAGAACUCCGAUUGCGAAGGCAGCUUACUGCAGCAGAACUGACGCUGAUGCACGAAAGCGUGGGUAUCGAACAGGAUUAGAUACCCUUGUAGUC
rnacentral:rRNA from 1 species